rnacentral:rRNA from 1 species
UACGAAGGGGGCUAGCGUUGCUCGGAAUCACUGGGCGUAAAGGGUGCGUAGGCGGGUUUUUAAGUCAGAGGUGAAAUCCUGGAGCUCAACUCCAGAACUGCCUUUGAUACUGAGAAUCUUGAGUUCGGGAGAGGUGAGUGGAACUGCGAGUGUAGAGGUGAAAUUCGUAGAUAUUCGCAAGAACACCAGUGGCGAAGGCGGCUCACUGGCCCGAUACUGACGCUGAGGCACGAAAGCGUGGGGAGCGAACAGG